UACGGGGGGAGCAAGCGUUGUCCGGAUUUACUGGGCGUAAAGAGCGCGCAGGCGGCUGGUCAAGUCCGAUGUGAAAGCUCCCGGCUUAACUGGGAAAUUGCAUCGGAAACUGAUCGGCUGGAAGGUGGGAGAGGGUAGCGGAAUUCCCGGUGUAGUGGUGAAAUGCGUAGAUGUCGGAAGGAACACCAGUGGCGAAAGCGGCUUCCUGGUCCAGCACCGACGUUCAGGCACGAAAGCGUGGGGAGCAAACAGG
rnacentral:rRNA from 1 species